rnacentral:tRNA from 1 species
GCGGAUGUGGCGAAAUUGGCAGACGCGCUAGACUUAGGAUCUAGUGGGGAGACCCGUAGGAGUUCAAGUCUCCUCAUCCGUA